rnacentral:rRNA from 1 species
UACGAAGGGGCUAGCGUUGCUCGGAAUCACUAGGGCGUAAAGGGUGCGUAGGCGGGUCUUUAAGUCAGGGGUGAAAUCCGUGGAGCCUCAACUCCAGAACUGCCUUUGAAUGACUGAAGUAUCUUGAGUUCGGGAGAGGUGAGUGGAACUGCGAGUGUAGAGGUGAAAUUCGUAGAUAUUCGCAAGAACACCAGUGGCGAAGGCGGCUCACUGGCCCGAUACUGACGCUGAGGCACGAAAGCGUGGGGAAGCAACAGGG